CCCUUCGGCAACGUGCCGGUG
rnacentral:misc_RNA from 1 species